GUGCGAGCAGUCGCAAAGUGUCUGCCAUCAGAGGAAGGGUGGCGAUAUAUUUGUUCAUUGCACCAGUUAAUGUAUAUGUGUUUUUUUUAUUAGUUCGUGAUAUUAUAGCAAAGUAUUCAGAUUCUCUGAAUAUCGUCAUUUAAAAAAUCGACGAACUCUCACGAGUGAAUAUACUAAAGAGGACAAAGCCCAUAUACGAAGAUGUGUGGCGGCUUUACGUGCUCCAAAAACGCAUUGACGGCCUUAAACAUCCUUUAUAUUGUUGUUGCGUUUAUUUUGAUCGGGGUAGCUGUUUAUGGAAGAGCUUCGGCUUUAGUUACAAACCUUCCAAUCAUUGGAGGAAUUUUAGCAUGUGGUGUAAUACUAAUUCUUAUUUCUAUACUUGGCCUCAUCGGUGCUGUCAAACACCAUCAAGUUCUACUGUUCUUUUAUAUGCUUAUUCUGUUCCUUCUGUUUUUGAUUCAAUUUAGCAUUGCUUGUGCUUGUCUUGCUGUUAAUACCAAACAACAAGAACAAUUAGCAGAACAGGGUUGGAGACGUGUUGGACAAGAUUUAAAAGAAAAGGUUGAGACUACUUUCAAUUGUUGUGGAUUUAAUGAUACUGUCAGCGCAGUCUUAGAUGAUAAAGAGCUAGUAUCUUGCAAAAAUAAACUUUGCUGUCAAUAUCCUACUGAUACUGAUUGUGAAUGUCCGUCAUGUAUGCAGAAACUACAAUCUACAAUUGAUUAUGCUUUUAAAUUGUGUGGCAGUAUAGGAUUAUUCUUCAGCUUCACAGAGUUCGUUGGUGUUUGGUUGACCGUGCGGUACAGGAAUCAGAAAGAUCCACGAGCUAAUCCUAGUGCUUUCCUCUAGUCUAACACCAUCGCUAUAUCCUCUGUCACCUCAUAUGAUCCUUCUAAUAGAUGGUGAUUGCAGCUUUCUUGGCAAGACGUUACAGAAAUCAAUUAAAUCCACAUCAAAGAGCUGUUUUUUCUUAGCAUAAAUAUUUUUAUUGAGAUAAUUCGUACAUUUUACACCAAAAAUUUUUAUUUCUACAGAAAUGCUAAUAACUAGGAAUAUUGAUGAAUGUCUCGACUUGAAUUAUUUUGGUUCAUGCUUAGAAACGUUUGAUUAGUUAGGAACCAAAGAAUUAAUUUUUAUUUCACAGUACAAACAUCAUUGCAUAUAAUACAAUUCUCAAGGAACUGUUUGUCUUUCACUGCAGUUUACAAUGCUCAACAGGAAAAAGAUACAAUGCAUUUGAAAAGUGGACAGUCAUAGGUUUUAGAACGCAUUAGACAAACGAUAGUUAAAAUGUGUGCUCUAGUCAUCCAUUUAGAACAAUUGUACUAAGCCUCAAUGCGCCUUGUAGUUUAAUACUUAGAUACAUUUGCGCAAGCGCGUUUUUACAAAAUUUAGUUUUUUUAUUCGCCGAAAUUUUGUUUGAAUAUGACCCAUUAUUCUUCACUAGCAAAAUUAUUUUUUGCUAAAACAUUAUUUCUAAACAGUGGUUAUAAGUGUUUAGAAAAUAUGAGAUCAUUCAUUAAUUAAAUUUCUCUUCAAUAACAAUUUUUCUAUAUUUUAAAUUUUAACAAUAUUUAACCUGAAUGUAUUAGUACUUUUUGAAAAUGCUUCAAUAUAAAGUACAUAUUGUACAUGUAUUUUUAAAACAGAAUUCCUUCUAUUAAACUUCAAUCAAACAAAUCUUCAUCAAAUUAUUUUUAAACGAAUUGUUUUAAUCAAAAAGAAUAACUUCAUGAAGAAUUAUAAAAGAUUAACAGUAUUUCGCUAUUGAAUCAAAUAUAUUAAUGCAGAAAAAAAGAUUCAGAUAUGGCGUGAUAAUUAAGACAAGAAUCUUUCAUCUUGAGAUAUUAUCAUAAUACUGCCAUAUAUAUUAUAAUGACAUUAUAAUCACCAUGUUACCAAUUUUGAAUUUAUUAUUUGCUUCCUGUAAUUUGUAUCAUUUGCUUCCUGCAACUUAUAUUACGUUUUGUAGUAUGGGUUUCGUAGAUUGUAUAUUUAAAUUUAAUGUAAAGUACGUUAAAAUAUAAUUCUAUAGAAUCGUUUAAAUUAUUCAGUAAUGUUUUAGAACAACAUAUAUUAAUUUAAUAUUUUAAUGGUUAUACUUCCAAAACAUAUAAAGUGCUCGUUAUUUUCAAUUAGUUUAAAUUUUAAGUACAAAAAGGGCAUAAUAAUACUUCAUGCUUGGAAUACGUAUUACAAAUAUAUCAUAAAAUAAGAAUUUGAAUUUAGUGCACUGAAAUUGCACGGCUCGUUAUAUUUGUUUCAGAUGUAUUCUUUUUCGUUUUCAUCUCAAUAUUACUUCUUUUUUUUUAUUUAAAACUUUCAUUAUAUUUGAUAUCAAUUCAAUAAUAAUAUAUAAUCACUAUCUUUACAUUUAUAAUUUCUCUUUUAUUUUAUUCCAUAUCUAGUUUAACCCCUUUAAUGCAGACUUUCAAAAGCUAUGAAAAAAUAUGACAUCAUUUCUGAUAUACCAAACAAUAGUUGGUGCAUAUGAAAUGUUCUUCUGAAUUUUGAAUUUCUUAAGAUAAUUUAUUGAUCAAUUCUAUAAAUCAUAUGUGUGCAUUAACUCCCAAAAUUUUGUAUUAAUUACCUAAAAAUGUUUUUUUGAAACUAUGGACAAUAUAUGAUUUUCGAGCUAUUUCUUUUAAUGAUUAUGAUUUUAGUAACAGUACAAUGAAAACCACUAAAGCAAUUAAUUUAUUAUUGUAAAAAGAAAUGAUAUUUUAUAUGCACCCAUUUAAUAUCUGAAAUUUGCAAAUAAAAUUAUGAAUCAAAAACCAAUGUUGCUUAUGAAAGUUUGAUGAAUAUGACAUAAACAUAUACGAUAUUGUAUUCAUACAAAUAAUUAGAGAUACCAUCAUGCAAUAUAAUACACAAUAAGGGGUUAAUAAAGAUACAUUACUCAAACAUUCCAAUCUUCAUAUAUUUUUAGCUUUAUCAAAAAAUAGGUAUUAUAAACACUUGGUAAAAAUCAUAUCUAUAACUCACGGCAUCUUUGUGCAUAUUAUGCAACACAUUGAGAAAAAUAUAAUAUGUUAUGUACUGUAAGCCAAGAAAGUAAUAAUAAAUUGAAUAACAUAAUUUCAAAAUUAGAGAAAGGAUUUAAAGGAUUAUAAUCUGUAACUAGAGUAUGUCACUGUCUUUAUUUUUAUCCAAUUGGAGCUAUAAAUAUAUCAAGAAUAACAUUGAUUACAGUGAUAAAAAUGAUAUAUAAAUUAAGAUAAAUAUUGCAAAUGUAAUAAAUGCGUGUUUUACUACAUAACAUAUUAAUACAUUCCUAUAUGUAUAUAAGCAUAAUCAAUGAAUAUCUACAUAUUAUUAAACAGAUAUAUUUCAAACGGUUAAGCAAUAGUCAAAAGUAUUUCUUUUAAAAUAGAUUAAAUUUACACCUAAUAUAGUGUAAAUGCAUUAAUUAAAUAAUUCAUUGAAAAUUAUUGAUAGUUUCUGUAUAGUAAUCACUUUAUGUUCCAAUUUUGAAUGUAAGAACCAGUAAUGCUUUUAAAUCGCCUGGAUCAUUCCAUUUAACUAUUUUAAAAUUUGAAAUAUUUAUGAAUAUUUGUUGCAUUGUUUUACAUCAAUAUAUUACAUGUUAUUUUGUAUCAAUAACGUUAUAAUUAUGAAUAUAUUAUUAUUCUAUGGUUCUGUAA
rnacentral:misc_RNA from 1 species